GACGAACGCUGGCGGCGCGCUUAACACAUGCAAGUCGAACGGAAAGGCCUGCUUUCCCUUGUGGAUUGCGGGUACUCGAGUGGCGAACGGGUGAGUAACACGUGAGUGAUCUGCCCCCAACUUGGGUAUAAGCCUGGGAAACUGGGUCUAAUUCCCGAUAGGACUGCAGGGUGGUGCCUGUGGUGGAAAACGAUUUUCUAGUGGUUGGGGAUGAGCUCGCGGCCUAUCAGCUUGUUGGUGGGGUAAUGGCCUACCAAGGCGGCGACGGGUAGCCGGCCUGAGAGGGUGGACGGCCACAUUGGGACUGAGAUACAGCCCAGACUCCUACGGGAGGCAGCAGUGGGGAAUAGUGCACAAUGGGCGGAAGCCUGAUGCAGCGACGCCGCGUGGGGGAUGACGGCCUUCGGGUUGUAAACUCCUUUCGACCGCGAGGAAGCCACCUGGUUGGAAGGGUGGUGACGGUAGUGGUAGAAGAAGCACCGGCUAACUACGUG
rnacentral:rRNA from 1 species